CAGAUUUUACUGAAUACCAUAAAAUAUCCUUUAUUGGUGAACUAUCUCUUUGAAAUGGUUUUGAAAUAUUUAAAAUGCUGUAGGUGGUGUCAAAUGCUUAAAAUUAUCAAGAUGCAUAUUUAGUAUGCGUUGUGUUACAGUAAUAGCUUCAAUCUAGUAAUGGCCAUGAUCUCUGGAAACCACUGAGGACUUUAUUAGGCAAUAUUAAAAUCUUGAGUAACGGCUUGCGUUUGCUUUUUGUAGUUCUAGUUAUCAACAUCAUGUAUAUAUUUAUUAGUAUUUCCUUAGCAACAACAGCAAGUCAGAAG
rnacentral:lncRNA from 1 species